CAAAAUCUGGGGCAAUGAAAGUGGGCAAUACUAUAGAUGCUCACAACAAAUUCAUAGAUGAUUCAUAAGAAUUUCCCCUACUACCUAAACGUCAAAUAUUGAAAAAGAAGCAUAUUCCUCCUCGCAUUUAUUUCUGUCUUAUUCUAUUUCAAUUUGUAUUUGUUUCUAUUUUAGAAUGUGUUUUAAUUUCAUAUUUUGUUCUCAUACCUCUAUUUCUGAUCAUCAGGUGGAGACAAUAUAAUGAGUUUGGAUCUGCCACACUCAUGGUUUAUGACAUUAUGAUGUAUUAUUGGUAUUUCAGCCUAGUGCCGGUUGCGCUAAAGCCAGUUAAAUUUUAAUCGUGAUUAAUCCCACGAGAACCAAUCAAAGAAGCCGUCGUUGAGGCCUUCUCUGAUUGGUUCUCAUGGAAUUAAUCACGGUUAAAAUUUAACCGGCUUUUGUGCAACUGGGCCUUAGUCUGUCUGUCCAAUUGCACACUUGGAAGCAGGUGCCAGCAUGAUUGUCUAUUCAAUUCAAAGUCAUAUAUAAUCAGGACUGAAAUUUUAAACAGGUGUGUCAGUUUGUAAUGCAUCAGAUGGAGCUUGGCAUACACAUACUGAUUCACUCCUGUCAUGGACCACAGCUUUCAAGUAUGGCACUUGACAGUGAGCAGAGUGAGAGAGAGGACGAAUCAGGAGCUGUAGAUCAUCACUGCUUGUCUCCGGAAUGAUUGAGCGAGCGAUGCGAGUUCUCACUCCCUGUUGCAGUCUCCACCUAUUUGGAUUAUGAGGUGAGUGAACUUUACAAUUUUUGUAGAUAUCCCUUUUAGGGUGGCCACUCACGACAGGACAAGUGUGUUGAGCAUGUGUGUGCACACAUGCUCGUCAUCAAUAUGUGUCAAUGCUAUAGUGAGGUCCACGUUAUAAUGACAGUGGAGAAAGAUAGG
rnacentral:lncRNA from 1 species